rnacentral:rRNA from 1 species
AACGAACGCUGGCGGCAGGCUUAACACAUGCAAGUCGAGCGCCCCGCAAGGGGAGCGGCAGACGGGUGAGUAACGCGUGGGAACCUACCUGAAGGUACGGAACAACUCCGGGAAACUGGAGCUAAUACCGUAUGUGCCCGAAAGGGGAAAGAUUCAUCGCCUUCAGAUGGGCCCGCGUCAGAUUAGCUAGUUGGUGGGGUAAUGGCCCACCAAGGCGACGAUCUGUAGCCGGUCUGAGAGGAUGAUCAGCCACACUGGGACUGAGACACGGCCCAGACUCCUACGGGAGGCAGCAGUGGGGAAUAUUGGACAAUGGGCGCAAGCCUGAGCCAGCCAUGCCGCGUGAGUGAUGACGGCCUUAGGGUUGUAAAGCUCUUUCGACGGGGACGAUAAUGACGGUACCCGUAGAAGAAGCCCCGGCUAACUUCGUGCCAGCAGCCGCGGUAACAC